rnacentral:rRNA from 1 species
GCCCAAGAGAUCGGGAUAACACCUGGAAACAGAUGCUAAUACCGGAUAACAACACUAGACGCAUGUCUAGAGUUUAAAAGAUGGUUCUGCUAUCACUCUUGGAUGGACCUGCGGUGCAUUAGCUAGUUGGUAAGGCAACGGCUUACCAAGGCAAUGAUGCAUAGCCGAGUUGAGAGACUGAUCGGCCACAUUGGGACUGAGACACGGCCCAAACUCCUACGGGAGGCAGCAGAU